rnacentral:rRNA from 1 species
GUCAGCUCGUGUCGUGAGAUGUUGGGUUAAGUCCCGCAACGAGCGCAACCCUUAAGCUUAGUUGCCAUCAUUAAGUUGGGCACUCUAAGUUGACUGCCGGUGACAAACCGGAGGAAGGUGGGGAUGACGUCAAAUCAUCAUGCCCCUUAUGAUUUGGGCUACACACGUGCUACAAUGGACAAUACAAAGGGUAGCGAAACCGCGAGGUCAAGCAAAUCCCAUAAAGUUGUUCUCAGUUCGGAUUGUAGUCUGCAACUCGACUAUAUGAAGCUGGAAUCGCUAGUAAUCGUAGAUCAGCAUGCUACGGUGAAUACGUUCCCGGGUCUUGUACACACCGCCCGUCACACCACGAGAGUUUGUAACACCCGAAGCCGGUGGAGUAACCAUUUGGAGCUAGCCGUCGAAGGUGGGACAAAUGAUUGGGGUGAAGUCGUAACAAGGUAGCCGUAUCGGAAGGUGCGGCUGGAUCACCUCCUUUCUAAGGAUAUAUUCGGAAC